CAAAAGUGUUUAGAUAUUUUCCAUUGAUACCACGACUUCAAAGACUAUUUAUGUCGACUAAAACAUCUACCGAAAUGAGAUGGCAUGCAGAAGGUCGCACUAAAGAUGGGGUAAUGCGACAUCCUGCUGACAGUAUUGCUUGGAAGAAUUUCGAUGAAACACAUGUUGAUUUCGCUCAAGAUCCUCAAAAUUUUAGACUUGGACUGGCUUCAGAUGGCUUUAGUCCAUUCAAGUCUAUGUCUAUCUCACAUAGCACAUGGCCGGUCAUCUUGAUUCCUUAUAACUUGCCACCAUGGUUGUGCAUGAAACAACCAUAUAUGAUAUUAUCAAUGAUUAUUGAUGGCCCUCGUGCUCCAGGUAAUGACAUUGAUGUCUAUCUACGACCCUUUGUUGAUGAGUUAAAAGAAUUAUGGAUUGGUGUUUCCACUUAUGAUGCAUCAAAUAAUCACAUGUUUCAAAUGCGUGCAUCAUUACUUUGGACAAUCAGUGAUUUUCCUGCACUAGGUAACUUAUCAGGAUAUGGCGUGAAAACAAGAUAUGCUUGUCCUUGUUGUCUUACCAAGACUAAGUUUAGAAGAUUGAAAAAUGGACAGAAGUAUUGUUUUAUGUCUCAUAGACGAUGGUUACCUCAUGGUCACAAGUUUCGAAAAGAUAAAGUUACGUUCGAUGGCCUUGCAGAAUUGGAGGUAGCACCUAAACGAGUGUCAGGAAUUGAGAUUCUUAAGCAAAUGAAGAAUAUUAGAAAUAAAUUUGGAAAAGAUCCAUUGGCCAAAUCUCGUAAAAGGAAAUGGGGGGAUGCUGAUGAUGUUGGUAAUGUGUUGGAAAAUAUAUGGAACAAAAGGAGCAUAUUUUUUGAGUUGGAAUACUGGAAAGACAAUAUGAUGCGUCAUAAUCUUGACACAAUGCAUAUUGAGAAGAACGUUUUUGACAACAUAUUCUGGACAUUAUUGAAUGUUGAUGGCAAAGGAAAAGACAAUUUGAAGUCUCGUUUGGAUUUACAAGAGAUGAGGAUCCGAAAAGCUUUGCAUCCUAAGAAAAAAGCUAACGGGAAAUAUUAUCUACCACCUACAUGUUUCACAUUGAGUAACAAACAAAAAGACAUUCUCUUACAAGUUUUAAGAUAUGUGAAAGUUCCAGAUGGUUAUUCUUCAAAUAUAUCAAAUUGUGUUGAUCUUAAACAACACACUAUGCAUGGAUUGAAGAGUCAUGACUGUCAUGUUUUAAUGCAACAACUCCUUCCUAUAGCCUUGAGGAAUCUUGUGCCAGUUAAUGUUCUUAAGCCAUUAAUUGAGUUAAGCAAUUUUUUUAGGGGCAUUUCUUCAACAGUUAUGAAGAUAGGUGAAUUAGAAAAAGCUCCAAGAUCGAGUUGCAAUAACUCUUUGUCAUUUGGAGUGAAUAUUUCCUCCAUAUUUUUUUGACAUCAUGGAACAUCUAGUCAUCCAUUUAGCUGAAGAAACAAUGUUGGGUGGACCAUCCCAAUAUUGUUCAAUGUGGGCAAUUGAAAGGUUCUUGCUUAGUCUUAAAAACUUUGUAAGGAGUAGAAGUCAUCCAGAAGGUUGCAUUGCAGAGGGACAAUGGAUACAAGAGAUCAUGACAUUCUGCUCAAGAUACUUAGAUGAUGUGGAGACAAAGUCUAAUCGACCAUUAAGAAAUAAUACAUUGUCUAAUGAAACAAUGGAUUUGGAGGGUCGUCGAUCAAGUAAAGAGAAAGGAUUUAUUCUUGAUGACAUUACACAUGCUCAAGAACACAAACAUGUUUUAUUUAAUGCUGCCUCCACAACUCCAUAUCGUGAAGAACAUAUAAAAGAAAUCAAGAAGGGAAAUCCUCGUCUAUCAAGACAUGAUGUGGAUCGGAUUCACAAUGAAAAAUUUCAAAUAUGGUUUAGAAAUCAUGUUGAGAAGAUGCAUUUGGCUGGUGAACAAAUACCUCAAGAUAUUCAACAUUUAGCUGUUGGCCCAUCAAAGCAAGCAAAAAGGAUGACGGGAUAUAUAUGUAAUGGAGUUAGAUACUUAACAAAAUCUCGUGAUGCCAAGAGAAAAACUCAAAAUAGUGGUAUAAUGGUAAAAGCUACCACUCAAAGUUAUGCGAGUGCAAGAGAUAAAAAUCCCAUAUUGGCAGAUGUUUCUUUUUAUGGGAUCCUCACAGACAUAAUUGAGUUGUAUUACACCAAGAAGUUCAAGUUUGUAUUAUUUACCUGUAAAUGGGUGAACAACAAUAAAGGGCUUAUUGAGAAAGAUGAUUAUGGAUUUACUCUUGUGAAUUUUAAUCAUCUACUCUACACAAAACAACAUUUAUCAAAUGAACCUUUCAUCUUUGCUUCUCAAGCUCAACAAGUUUUUUAUGUCGAUCAUCCAAUGGAAAAUGAGUGGCAAAUUGUUGUUAAAUUUAAGCCAAGAGGUUUUUAUGAUUUAGGUGAAGAUACACCAUCAAUUGAGCAUAAGGAAGGCCAUAUGGAAUUGUGGCCUGAGCAACAAUUGGAUGACACUACAUUUGAAAGUGAAGACGAUAUUGAAUGGGUUAGACAUGGAGUACCAGGAAUAGAGAUCGACCCACAAACUUUGGAAUGUAAUGAAGCAUUUGAUGAAGAUGAUGAUACAUCUUAAUUUUUAUUACUAUUAUGUUAUUAUGAUUAUUUUAAUUUAGAUUGUUAUUGAACAAUAUAAAUUUUUGCGUUUUUUACUAUGUCAUUCAGUUGUUAAAAUCUCGUAUGGUUAUGUGUUUUGUUAUUCA